rfam:Bacillus galactosidilyticus strain PL133 scaffold000141, whole genome shotgun sequence.
GAUGUAAGAAGAACGGCUAAGUUCGCGCUGUCUUGGCGCAACGCCUUUCUGACCAACAUCCUGUUGC